rnacentral:lncRNA from 1 species
ACAGCAAAACAAAACCCUCAUCCUGCUGCUUUUGCCCCACACCAACCCCCAUCUGCGCGAACUGCUCCUCAAUCCCCAUUACCUUCUGAUCCUCCACGACGUGAACCCUAAUCGGCGGCAAAUUGGCCAGCGACGGUGACGACGAAGUGGACCCAAACGACGACGUCGUCUCGAGCAUGGGCGAAUCAGGAACGGAGUGAACAUCCUGCUUCAAAUUCUUUCCGUUCCCGAAAGAUCCACCCAACGAAGCGCCACCACCAACACCAGCACCGGCACCACCUUCCCCAGCGUCCUUCGAACCGGGCUCGAGGUUGUUCCCAGCCACCUCGUCGUCGAGAUCGACCAGGCAAUUAACAGAAGCAGAGUCGGAAAAGCCUCGGUUAGGUACUCCGUUGCCGUUCAGGGCAUUCAAGAACCAGUCGUCCGAUUUGGUUGAGGUGUCAAGGAUUUGGGAGGGAAUGGAGUGAGUGGAAUCAGGUUUGGUAGCGAAGAGAAAUAGGCGGAUGCGGGAGGGUUUGAUGACGGAAGUGGCGGCGGCGGCAGUACGGUCGUACUCGUCGAUCAUGUUCUCCAGGUCUUCGUCGGUGGUGACGGAGAUGAGGGAAUCGAGGUCCUCGUUAGGAAGCUGGUACUUGAGCGUGAAGGGCCGUCCGUUCAGGAAUGUCUUCGAGAGGCGCGUGGAGAGGUCCGCGAGUGAGGUGGCGCGUUCCGCAACGAUGAUGCGCGUGUCGCCGCCGACGUAGCAGAGGGACUUGUCG